rnacentral:rRNA from 1 species
GAUGAACGCUGGCGGCAUGCCUUACACAUGCAAGUCGAACGGCUGCACGGGAGCAAUCCUGGUGGCGAGUGGCGAACGGGUGAGUAAAGUAUCGGAACGUGCCCAGUCGUGGGGGAUAACGUAGCGAAAGUUACGCUAAUACCGCAUACGAUCUAUGGAUGAAAGCGGGGGAUCGCAAGACCUCGCGCGAUUGGAGCGGCCGAUAUCAGAUUAGGUAGUUGGUGGGGUAAAGGCUCACCAAGCCGACGAUCUGUAGCUAGGCUGAGAGGACGACCAGCCACACGGGGACUGAGACACGGCCCAGACUCCUACGGGAGGCAGCAGGGGGGAAUUUGGGACAAUGGGCGAAAGCCGGAUCCAGCCAUGCCGCGUGCAGGAUGAAGGCCUUCGGGUUGUAAACUGCUUUUGUACGGAACGAAAAGGUUUGGCCUAAUAAGCUGAGCUCAUGACGGUACCGUAAGAAUAAGCACCGGCUAACUACGUGCCAGCCGCCGCCGUAA